rnacentral:lncRNA from 1 species
GUUCAGGCUUGGGAUCUAUCACCAGGCCAUCCCAUGUUAGUGCUACAUUGGUAUAAGACAGCCCGUGCUAACUGUCCCGUUCGUAUGAAGAUAACAAAAGUGCCUUUCACCAGUAUCUGUGGUCGCAUGAAGUGAGGYGAACAACCGUUUGCAAGCUGGCAAGUAGAUUAUGUAGGCCCGUUGCCCCCCUCACAGGGACAAAAGCAUAUAUUAACUGCUGCAGACAUUUACCCAGGCCUUAUGUACGCAUAUCCUACCUCCUAGGCGAAUCAAUCCUCUACUGUACGGGGCUUAGAGCAACUCAUGUAUACUUACGGUAUACCAAAAGAAAUACGGAGUGACCAAGGUACCCACUUUGCAGGCCAUGUAGUACAAGAAUGGGCAAAAAAAAAAAAAAAAGUUGAUAUUUCUGUUACUCUCAUGAAUUUAUACGAUUUGGGCAUUGUUUCCCAAAAGACAACACCUUGGCCUUACUCUUUUCGUAUAGCUAACAUAUCUAAAGCAUAUAUUGGCUUUUGCUUUGUAAAUGCUUCCUCUGUUCUGCGGAAUGUAACCAAUACACAGUUAAUUUGUAAUGACACUGUGAAUAUUACCUAUGUGCCUGCUCACCUUAUACUACCAUUCGGGUGGUUCCUUCUGUGUGGCACUACAGCGUAUACCUAUGUGCUGGCCAACGCCACAGGUGGCCCAUGCACUGUAGGUCAUGUUACUUUAAGCAUCCUUCCCUUUAUGACGGAGCAGUGAAGGACCUUGCGGCAUAUCCUAGCAGCAGCAACACUGGAGGUGUAGAGGCAAUACAUACACCUACAGUGUGCUCAUGAUAUAGCAGACUCUUAUUUGUGCGUUGCACAUGGUUACUUGUGUCUGCCUAGAAGAACAUGGGUGGAGAAGGGGGYUGCAAACUGAAGGAGGUCAGGAAGGAAGUGACAGGCACAAAUGUGAGUGCAGAGGGCCAUUACAGGGAAGGGCUUUUCAAAGGGGCCUCCAGGAGCCAGGUCUCUCUCAU